GGGGAUGGUGAGGGGUGCGAGCGCAGAGCCCCAGGGGCGGUGAAGAAGGAUUAUAACAGCGUCUGACC
rnacentral:ncRNA from 14 species